UACGUAGGGUGCAAGCGUUAUCCGGAAUUAUUGGGCGUAAAGAGCUCGUAGGCGGUUUGUCGCGUCUGCUGUGAAAACUGGAGGCUCAACCUCCAGCCUGCAGUGGGUACGGGCAGACUAGAGUGCGGUAGGGGGAGAUUGGAAUUCCUGGUGUAGCGGUGGAAUGCGCAGAGUAUCAGGAGGAACACCGAUGGCGAAAGGCAGAUCUCUGGGCCGUAACUGACGCUGAGGAGCGAAAGCAUGGGGAGCGAACAGG
rnacentral:rRNA from 1 species